rnacentral:lncRNA from 1 species
UUUCUCCACCUGUUUUGGGUAGUCCAACAAUGUUUUCGUCUAUUUGACACAAAGUAGCUUUCGCUAAAAUCGACCAACAAACAAACAUUUUUUUAUCCAGAACUACGUAAGCCUUGAUUUCUCUAUUGAGAUACGUAGGAGCAGGAUUUGUAAAUCUUGUCAGGCCCACUAAUAAAAAACUUAGGUUUAGUCCUUAGUCGAAAAUAAAAAAAAAACAUUCUCCUCUCUUCUAUUCUUUCUUUCGCACCUAAUAACUUGAAAAGCCUAACAUUUCAAACUAACACUAAUG